rnacentral:rRNA from 1 species
GAUGAACGCUAGCGGCAGGCCUAAUACAUGCAAGCCGAACGGCAAGUUUGAUAGCAAUAUUGGACCUAGAGUGGCGCAAGGGUGCGUAACACGUAUGCAACCUGCCCGCGACAGGAGGAUAGCUCCCCGAAAGGGGAAUUAACCCUCCAUAACACCAUGAGAAGGCAUCUGAUUAUGGUUAAACCGCAAGGGGUCGCGGAUGGGCAUGCGGUUGAUUAGCUAGUUGGCGGGGUAAAGGCCCACCAAGGCGGUGAUCAAUAGGGAUUCUGAGAGGAAGGUCCCCCACACUGGCACUGGGAUACGGGCCAGACUCCUACGGGAGGCAGCAGUAGGGAAUAUUGGACAAUGGUUGCAAGACUGAUCCAGCCAUGCCGCGUGCAGGAAGAAGGCCUUCUGGGUCGUAAAAUGCUUUUUCCUGUGGAUAAAAUACCCGUGCGCGGGGAAUUGAAGGUAACAGGGGAAUAAGCCACGGCUAACUACGUG